UUUUCAGCAGCCGCGGUAAAACGUAGGAGGCGAGCGUUAUCCGGAUUUACUGGGCGUAAAGCGUGCGCAGGCGGCUUUGUAAGUCGGAUGUGAAAGCUCCUGGCUUAACUGGGAGAGGCCAUUCGAAACUGCAAGGCUUGAGGUUGGGAGAGGGGUGCGGAAUUCCCGGUGUAGUGGUGGAAUGCGUAGAUAUCGGGAGGAACACCUGUGGCGAAAGCGGCACCCUGGCCCACACCUGACGCUGAGGUACGAAAGCGUGGGUAGCAAACAGGAUUAGAUACCCCCGUAGUCC
rnacentral:rRNA from 1 species